rnacentral:rRNA from 1 species
AUUGAACGCUGGCGGCAGGCUUAACACAUGCAAGUCGAGCGGAGAUGAGGUGCUUGCACCUUAUCUUAGCGGCGGACGGGUGAGUAAUGCUUAGGAAUCUGCCUAUUAGUGGGGGACAACAUUCCGAAAGGAAUGCUAAUACCGCAUACGCCCUACGGGGGAAAGCAGGGGAUCUUCGGACCUUGCGCUAAUAGAUGAGCCUAAGUCGGAUUAGCUAGUUGGUGGGGUAAAGGCCUACCAAGGCGACGAUCUGUAGCGGGUCUGAGAGGAUGAUCGGCCACACUGGGACUGAGACACGGCCCAGACUCCUACGGGAGGCAGCAGUGGGGAAUAUUGGACAAUGGGCGUAAGCCUGAUCCAGCCAUGCCGCGUGUGUGAAGAAGGCCUUUUGGUUGUAAAGCACUUUAAGCGAGGAGGAGGCUACCUGGAUUAAUACUCUAGGAUAGUGGACGUUACUCGCAGAAUAAGCACCGACUAACUCUGUGCCAGCCGCCGCAGUAAUAC